rnacentral:rRNA from 1 species
UACGUAGGGUGCAAGCGUUAAUCGGAAUUACUGGGCGUAAAGCGUGCACAGGCGGUUUUGGAAGUCUGUCGUGAAAGCCCCGGGCUCAACCUGGGAAUUGCGAUGGAGACUGCAAGGCUUGAAUCUGGCAGAGGGGGGUAGAAUUCCACGUGUAGCAGUGAAAUGCGUAGAGAUGUGGAGGAACACCGAUGGCGAAGGCAGCCCCCUGGGUCAAGAUUGACGCUCAUGCACGAAAGCGUGGGGAGCAAACAGG